rnacentral:rRNA from 1 species
GACGAACGCUGGCGGCGCGCUUAACACAUGCAAGUCGAGCGAAUCGGCGGACGGGUGAGUAACACGUGAGUAACCUGCCUUAGACAUUGGGAUAGCCUCGGGAAACCGGUAUUAAUACCAAAUGGUCUAAGAUGGACUCGCGUCCCAUUAGCAAGUUGGUGAGGUAACGGGCCCCGAAGGCGAUGAUGGGUAGCCGGGCUGAGAGGGUGAACGGACACAUUGGAACUGAGAAACGGUCCAAACUCUACGGGAGGCAGCAGUGGGGAAUAUUGCACAAUGGAGUGAACGCUGAUGCAGCGACGCCGCGGGAACGAAGAAGGCUUUCGAGUCGUAAAGUUAUUUUAUAUGGGAAGCGGUACCAUAAGAAAAAGCACCGGCUAACUACGUGCCAGCCGCCGCGGUAAUAC